GCUGGCGUAGCUCAGUUGGUAGAGCAGCUGAUUUGUAAUCAGCAGGUCAUCGGUUCGAAUCCGUUCGCCAGCUCCA
rnacentral:tRNA from 1 species